rnacentral:rRNA from 1 species
AUUGAACGCUGGCGGCAUGCUUUACACAUGCAAGUCGAACGGCAGCGCGGGCUUCGGCCUGGCGGCGAGUGGCGAACGGGUGAGUAAUGCAUCGGAACGUGCCCAGUAGUGGGGGAUAGCCCGGCGAAAGCCGGAUUAAUACCGCAUACGACCUGAGGGUGAAAGCGGGGGACCGAAAGGCCUCGCGCUAUUGGAGCGGCCGAUGUCGGAUUAGCUAGUUGGUGGGGUAAAGGCUUACCAAGGCGACGAUCCGUAGCUGGUCUGAGAGGACGACCAGCCACACUGGGACUGAGACACGGCCCAGCCUCCUACGGGAGGCAGCAGUGGGGAAUUUUGGACAAUGGGGGCAACCCUGAUCCAGCCAUGCCGCGUGCGGGAAGAAGGCCUUCGGGUUGUAAACCGCUUUUGUUCGGGAAGAAAUCCUCUGGGCUAAUACCCCGGGGGGAUGACGGUACCGGAAGAAUAAGCACCGGCUAACUACGU